rnacentral:lncRNA from 1 species
GGUGUGGUGAGUGAAAUGGAGAAGGCUAAACUUUUUCUUCCCACAUGCUCACUUCCUUGCUUGUUCGCUAGCUGCUGCAUCUGGCCCCUCAAGGGUAAAGUCAAGGGGAAAAGGAGAUUGAGAGGAAGGACAGUCUGUGAAUUGGGUCUCACCGUGUUUCCCAGGCUGAAGUACAGUGUUGUGAUAUCAGUUCAUUGCAACUUCUGUCUUCUGAGCUCAAGCAAUCCUCUUGCCUCAGCCUCUCAAGUAGCUGGGACUGACUACAGGCAUGAACCACCACACCUGGCUAAUUUUUUUUGUAUUUUUGUCGAAAAGACAGUUUCGCCAUGUUGUACAGAACUACUUCUCAAAUCACUAUUCACAUCCUGGUAGAAGUCAAGCAAUGAAGAUGGCACAGAAACACAUCCCAAAUACUAUGAUACCAUAAAGUAUACUGUAGCAAUGCAUUGGCACACCCUCAUUUGAACAUUUGUCUCAGAAGAUUUUGACAGAAGAUAAAAUUGUCUGGUUUUUAUUUCAUUGGUUUCAUGAAAAUUUAUUUCACUGGUUUCAUGUCACAGGCCCAUGACUGUAUAAAGAGUCAUAAUCUUUACAAACACAACAAUGACUCACAGCGACAUGUUGCAAAGCUGUAAUCGAAAACACUGAUGUUGAUUUCAGAGGCCAUUAAUGGUGUUAAGAAGGCGCUUUUGUUAACCAAAUAAUUGAAUACUCGUAAUUACUUUUCAGUUCUAGUUCAGUUCUUGACACCAAAACAAGCCAUUUUCUUUACAUAGUGAAUGCAGAACUUGCCAGUAAGAACUUUCAUACUAAACUUCUAUGUAAAACAAAACAUGUCAAAAUCAGUAACUACUUUAAUGGAAUGGUAAAGAAUUUACUUAAACACAAAGGAAUGAAAAUAUCUCUGCAAAUAUGUCUAUUGACUUUUCAAAUUUGGUGACUUCUUUCGAAUUAAUUCCCUUACGUCUGUUCCUCAUCCACAUAAAAAUGACAAAAAUGAAAGAUAAUUUUCCAGCCUAUAAUUAAAUUUCUCCAUUGUUGGU